rnacentral:rRNA from 1 species
UACGUAGGGUGCGAGCGUUGUCCGGAAUUAUUGGGCGUAAAGAGCUCGUAGGCGGUCUGUCGCGUCGAUCGUGAAAACUUGGGGCUUAACCCUGAGCUUGCGGUCGAUACGGGCAUGACUGGAGUUCGGCAGGGGAGACUGGAAUUCCUGGUGUAGCGGCGAAAUGCGCAGAUAUCAGGAGGAACACCGGUGGCGAAGGCGGGUCUCUGGGCCGAUACUGACGCUGAGGAGCGAAAGCGUGGGGAGCAAACAGG